GCAUCUUUUGAUGAUGAGUGUUCUCGACCAGUAGUGUCGACAGCCGAUGUGAUGCAGCGAGGACAAUCGGAUGUUUGGUUGACUCUGGUAUGUUGGCGUUACCAAGCCGGCCACCGACGCGUAACACACCCUUUGGGUCGAGGUCGUCCAUCUCCUCCGCAAACGAAUCAUGUUGUGCCCGUUGACACAACCUCAGUUCCGCAUCCUGCAACUCCGCCGCUGUAAGCGGUGGAACGGAACUCAAUAGCGUCUUCAUGUCCGUAUUCCGCUUGACGCUGUUGAUCGACGUUGACUUGCUCGCCCUGAGGUUGGAGAGGAUUCGCAAGCAAUAAGCAACAACCCUUCGCAACUUGCCGUACGAGGAAUAACGUGCGAAAAGUGUGUUGCUAAAGUCACACGUCGUAGAGGUGAUGACUAUUUUGGACACCGCUAACCGCUCCUCGAUGUCCGUCUCGUUCUCUUUCGCGAGUACUGGUUCCACCGGCCACUCUUCCUGUCCGUAGGACAACCAACGUGGCCCCUGCCACCAUCGCUCGCACUGCAGUAACUCUUCGGGCCUCAACCCGCGCGAUAUAUCAUCCGCCGGGUUAUCGCUACCAGGAACAUGACGCCAGCAUGAAAUUCGGGUCUCCUCUUGUAUUUGCGCCACCCUGUUGGCGACGAACGGCUUCCAUCGACGAGGUGAUGAUUUGAGCCAAUGCAUGACGGUCAUGGAAUCUGUCCAACAGAUAACCGUCGACGAUGAAACGUUGAGUGCUCGAAUCACCUUCUGGAACAGGUGUACUGCUAGCCGUGCUGCACACAGUUCUAAUCUGGCGAUGGAAUGUGUGUUUGAGAGGGACACCACCUUGGACUUAGCCGCUAGCAAUCUAACCGUAGAGCCCCGUGUCGAAUCCGAGCGUACGUAACAACAUGCUCCAUAGGCUCCUUGAGAUGCAUCCGCGAAGAGAUGCAGCUGCAGCCUUUCCGGAUUGCUAUGUGCCACCAAUCGAGGUACUCGCAGUUCGCGUAACACAUAGAGCGUUGAGUGGAACCUCCUCCACUCUUCCUGAAUCUCCGCUGGUAGCGGACGAUUCCAGUCCAGCGUCUUCCCCUCGUGCUUCAAUCCCCAUAGGCGUUGCAGGAACAUCUUGGCGAGUAUCACCGUUGGUCCCAACAGACCAAGAGGAUCGAAGAUUCUGGCCGUGUAUGAUAACACCAGGCAUCGUGUCAGCUCUUCUGCAGGGGUUGGCAAAUCCACCCGAAACCGAAACAUAUCGUUGGAUGGUUCCCAAACCAAGCCCAGUGUUGAGACUGCUUGGUCUUCUUGCCAGUCUAGAACUGAUUUGAUGGCCAAAUCGGCGCUUGGAACACCAUCAAGCGCAGCCGGUAUGUUCGACGCCCAUUUCUUUAGUGAGAAGCCCGCUGAUUCCAACAUCGAUGAUAUCUGUUUACGUGUUUCGAUGGCUUCUGAAACACUUGCUGCACCAGUCAGCAAGUCAUCCACAUAAAAAUCAUGCAGAACCGGGUCUACGGCUUUGGGGUACUCCUGUUUGUUGUCAUGCGCAAUUUGUUGCAACGUACGAGUGGCCAAGAACGGAGCUGAUGCGGUACCGUAGGUCACCGUUUGUAGCUCAUACGUUGCUAUUGGUUCGGUUGAACGUUCCCGAUAUCGAAUGCGUAGCAGUUUUCGAUCUUUAUCAUAAUGCAGGAUCUGCCUGUACAUCUUCUCCACGUCUGCCACUAAUGCGACAGAAUGCUUCCUGAAUCGCAAGAUGAUUGUGAGCAGAUCAUCUUGUACCGUUGGGCCAAUGAGUAAGGUGUCGUUCAAGGAGUAGCCCGAUGUUGUUUUGCAGGAUGCAUCGAAAACAACACGAACCUUGGUUGAAGAACUCGACUCCUUAAUCACGGCAUGAUGAGGGAUGUAGCAGUGCGGCUCACUAUCGUCGACAGGUUCGGUGAGUUUCACCAUGUGUCCCAACUGCUCGUAUUCUACCAUGAACCUUUUAUACUCCUUUUCCAUUACAGGAUUGGCCUUUAGCCGCCGUUCAACUCCCAACAAACGCCGAUCUGCUAUAUCCCUUGACAAACCCAGGACUUUCUCCGGUUUGGCAUUUCGCGGCAACGACACGACAUAGCGACCUUGAGCAUUUCGCGUAGUCGUGGAAGCAUAAUACUUGUCACACAGGUCUUCUUCCAAAGACAACGCAGGGCCUUCUAAAAUGCUCUCAGCCUCCCAGAACCGUUGUAGCGAAGCUGCAAUGUCACCUUCAUUGGUUGCCAGGUGACACAACCGCAAAUUGGGCCCAGAACAACGGGAAGUAUUCCCAGAGAUCGCCCAUCCAAACGGUGUCUCCAACAACCAUGGUUUUCCUUCGCCCAGUGACCGCUUCCUUCCAGUAUGUAGUUCCCAAAAUGUAUCACCGCCAAUAACCACAUCUACCUUUCCGGGGACGUGGAAAGUAGGAUCAGCCAAUUUUAUAUUCGGGAGGAACCACGACUCUACGUUUAUCGGUGUGGUUGGAAGAUCUGCCGACGGAGUCUUUAGUACAAGAAAUUCCAUUGUUGUAGAGAAGUCAGCCCCUUUCGAUUGAACGGCCGCUGUAAUGGAACCCUUGACGUGCUGCAUGUGUUGCCCUAUACCAGAUAUGGCAACGUCUACCUUUGACAACGGUGUUAGCAAUCGCUGCGCCAUGGUUUCGGAAACGAAAUUGCACAUCGAUCCCGAAUCGAGAAGUGCCCGCGCAUCAUACGUGUUGCCGUGAUCAUCCACGAGCUGGAGAAGGACCGUUUCCAGAAGAACCAUUUCCUCAUCGGAUUGCGCAGCCAUGGUCACCGCUGAAUUCACAUGUAGUAGUGAAUGGUGUCGUGCCUUGCACGUAGUGCACCGGUACGACGAGCGGCAAUCCCUCACUUGGUGAUGACGAUUCAGGCAAUUCCAACACAGCCGUUCUCGUGUUGCGAUUUCCCGCCGUUGGGGUACGUCCUUAUUUGCGAAUUCCGGACAAGCCCGCAAAUGGUGAGCCUCCGUGCAACCAAAAAUGCACGGUGGUUGUGGUGGCUGUGGCGCUGACAUAUGCGGUAUUGCUCUUCCUGCCGUCGCUGUGUUACCCACCAACCUUGGUCUAUGUUCGAAUAUUUUUUUGCUACCGGCCACCAUUCUCGUAUUUAGUUCAGUAUGGGAAAACUCACGCGUUGACUUAAGGAUUCGGACACGACUAUGAAGGAAAUCUACUAACUCCUUGUACUUAUCUUUCGUGUGCUGUGCUGAAUGGUUUUCCCAAGCCAAGAUGGUCGCCGUGUCCAGUUUCAUCAGCAAGAGGUUGGCGAGCGGCGUAUCCCAGUACUCAACGGGCUCGUCGAGUUUCUUCAGCCCGUUCACGUGCCGCGUGAAUUCAUCCACGAGCUGCGCCAAUUCAUCCACCCUUUCACGGCUCACUGUCGGUAGGUGAUGAAUCUUCCGGUAGUACUCGCGAACAAGCGUACGCGGGUUGUCGUAUCGCUUCAGCAAGGCAGUCCACGUCACGUCGUAAUUAUCUGCUGUUAAGGUGGUAUGCUCGAAGAGCAAUCCAGCAUCACCCUUUAACGACGACAGCAGAUAUUGCAGCUUCAUGAUGUUAGGAAUGUCCGCGGAAGAAUCAAUCAUAGCUACAAAUCGGUCCCGGAAAGUAAGCCACUUGGUAGAAUCACCAUCAAACGUAGGUAAUUCGAUUUUCGGCAGACGCACAUUCACAGCACUCGAUCGUCCCGUAGUAUUCAUCGUUGAAUUCGCGAUCAACACCGAAUCACUCACACCCGGGUUCGAGGGUUGCCUUCGUAGAAGGAAACCCUUCACGCGUCGGUAACGCGUGUCCAUUUCGCAACGUUCCGCCACAUACGUUUCCGCCCCAUCCUCAUCUAGCUCCGAAACUUUCGCGCUUGCCUGGAGAAAAUCUUCGUAAUACCUUUCCAGCUGGUCUAGACACACUGAUACUUCACUCACUCUAUCAUCGGUAUAUUCACUGGUGAACUGUUCCACGGUUUUAAUUAGCUCGGCAGCUUGGCGUUUUUUCAGUUGAAACGCUUUUAAUUGUUUCGCCAUUUUCUCUUUGAAUUUUUGGCGCGUAGGAUAAUCUCACUGUAACUUGGAUGCAACUUGUACGCAAAACCAAAUUUCGAAUGGCGCAAAUUUGAAAACGCAAUGGGUGUCGUUGCAGUUAUGGGUGCCAAAUUUGAAAUGGCGUGGGUGGCGUCGGUUUUCUUACGCGUU